GACGAACGCUGGCGGCGUGCUUAACACAUGCAAGUCGAACGGAAAGGCCCUGCUCUUGUGGGGUGCUCGAGUGGCGAACGGGUGAGUAACACGUGAGUAACCUGCCCUUGACUUUGGGAUAACUUCAGGAAACUGGGGCUAAUACCGGAUAUGAGCUCCUGCUGCAUGGUGGGGGUUGGAAAGUUUCGGCGGUUGGGGAUGGACUCGCGGCUUAUCAGCUUGUUGGUGGGGUAGUGGCUUACCAAUGCUUUGACGGGUAGCCGGCCUGAGAGGGUGACCGGCCACAUUGGGACUGAGAUACGGCCCAGACUCCUACGGGAGGCAGCAGUGGGGAAUAUUGCACAAUGGGCGGAAGCCUGAUGCAGCAACGCCGCGUGCGGGAUGACGGCCUUCGGGUUGUAAACCGCUUUCGCCUGUGACGAAGCGUGAGUGACGGUAAUGGGUAAAGAAGCACCGGCUAACUACGUG
rnacentral:rRNA from 1 species